GAGCGGUAUUUGUUCUUCGGAACAGAGAGAGCGGCGUACGGGUGCGGAACACGUGUGCAACCUGCCUUUAUCUGGGGGAUAGCCUUUCGAAAGGAAGAUUAAUACCCCAUAAUAUAUUGAAUGGCAUCAUUCGAUAUUGAAAACUCCGGUGGAUAGAGAUGGGCACGCGCAAGAUUAGAUAGUUGGUGAGGUAACGGCUCACCAAGUCUGCGAUCUUUAGGGGGCCUGAGAGGGUGAUCCCCCACACUGGUACUGAGACACGGACCAGACUCCUACGGGAGGCAGCAGUGAGGAAUAUUGGACAAUGGGUNGAGAGCCUGAUCCAGCCAUCCCGCGUGAAGGACGACGGCCCUAUGGGUUGUAAACUUCUUUUGUAUAGGGAUAAACCUACUCUCGUGAGAGUAGCUGAAGGUACUAUACGAAUAAGCACCGGCUAACUCCGUGCCAGCAGCCGCGGUAAUACGGAGGGUGCAAGCGUUAUCCGGAUUUAUUGGGUUUAAAGGGUCCGUAGGCGGAUCUGUAAGUCAGUGGUGAAAUCUCACAGCUUAACUGUGAAACUGCCAUUGAUACUGCAGGUCUUGAGUGUUAUUGAAGUAGCUGGAAUAAGUAGUGUAGCGGUGAAAUGCAUAGAUAUUACUUAGAACACCAAUUGCGAAGGCAGGUUACUAAGCAACAACUGACGCUGAUGGACGAAAGCGUGGGGAGCGAACAGGAUUAGAUACCCUGGUAGUCCACGCCGUAAACGAUGCUAACUCGUUUUUGGGGCUUCGGCUUCAGAGACUAAGCGAAAGUGAUAAGUUAGCCACCUGGGGAGUACGAACGCAAGUUUGAAACUCAAAGGAAUUGACGGGGGCCCGCACAAGCGGUGGAUUAUGUGGUUUAAUUCGAUGAUACGCGAGGAACCUUACCAAGGCUUAAAUGGGAAAUGACAGGUUUAGAAAUAGACUUUUCUUCGGACAUUUUUCAAGGUGCUGCAUGGUUGUCGUCAGCUCGUGCCGUGAGGUGUUAGGUUAAGUCCUGCAACGAGCGCAACCCCUGUCACUAGUUGCCAUCAUUAAGUUNGGGGACUCUAGUGAGACUGCCUACGCAAGUAGAGAGGAAGGUGGGGAUGACGUCAAAUCAUCACGGCCCUUACGCCUUGGGCCACACACGUAAUACAAUGGCCAGUACAGAGGGCAGCUACACAGCGAUGUGAUGCAAAUCUCGAAAGCUGGUCUCAGUUCGGAUUGGAGUCUGCAACUCGACUCUAUGAAGCUGGAAUCGCUAGUAAUCGCGCAUCAGCCAUGGCGCGGUGAAUACGUUCCCGGGCCUUGUACACACCGCCCGUCAAGCCAUGGAAGUCUGGGGUACCUGAAGUCGGUGA
rnacentral:rRNA from 1 species